AGUCCUGUAGUUCAGUGGUGAGAACACUCGCCUCGGAAGCGAGAGACCUGGGUUUGAUUCCCGGCAGGGCAA
rnacentral:tRNA from 1 species